UCCCAGAGCAAUGUAUGAAGAAAUCAUGUGGCGCUAAAGCUGAAACGUUGAUGUUGGCUUUUUGAAAUUCCUAAAAUCAAAGUUUGAAAACAAGCCUUAACUUAUGAUGUGUUGUACAAAUUAUUUCAAUGCUUGAAAUGAAU